rnacentral:sRNA from 1 species
UCAAAAGCCUUCAAAAGUGUUUCUUCUUCGUCUUCUUCCUUUUAUUAUCUGUGCCUUGACAGAUCCACGAUCCGAUUCUGG